rnacentral:rRNA from 1 species
UACGAAGGGGGCGAGCGUUGUUCGGAUUUACUGGGCGUAAAGGGCGCGUAGGCGGCCACGCACGUCCGUUGUGAAAUCGCCCGGCUCAACUGGGCGGGGUCAGCGGAUACGGUGUGGCUCGAGCAAGCUAGGGGGCAACGGAAUUCCCGGUGUAGUGGUGGAAUGCGUAGAUAUCGGGAGGAACACCAGUGGCGAAGGCGGUUGCCUGGAGCUUUGCUGACGCUGAGGCGCGAAAGCGUGGGGAGCGAUCCGG